ACGGAAUAGAUACCCCGGUAGUCCACGCCCUAAACGAUGUCUACUAGUUGUUGGUGGAGUAAAAUCCAUGAGUAAACGCAGCUAAACGCGUGAAGUAGACCGCCUGGGGAGUACGGUCGCAAGAUUAAAACUCAAAUGAAUUGACGGGGGCCCGCACAAGCGGUGGAUUAUGUGGAUUAAAUUCGAUGCAACGCGAAAAACCUUACCUGGCCUCGACAUGUAACGAACUUUCCAGAGAUGGAUUGGUGCUCGAAAGAGAACGUUAACACAGGUGCUGCAUGGCUGUCGUCAGCUCGUGUCGUGAGAUGUUGGGUU
rnacentral:rRNA from 1 species